rnacentral:rRNA from 1 species
GAUGAACGCUGGCGGCGUGCCUAAUACAUGCAAGUCGAGCGAACGGACGAGAAGCUUGCUUCUCUGAUGUUAGCGGCGGACGGGUGAGUAACACGUGGAUAACCUACCUAUAAUACUGGUAUAACUUCGGGAAACCGUAGCUAAUACCGGAUAAUAUUUUGAACCGCAUGGUUCAAAAGUGAAAGACGGUCUUGCUGUCACUUAUAGAUGGAUCCGGGCUGCAUUAGCUAGUUGGUAAGGUAACGGCUUACCAAGGCAACGAUGCAUAGCCGACCUGAGAGGGUGAUCGGCCAAACUGGAAGGGAGACACGGUCCAGAGUCCUACGGGAGGCAGCAGUAGGGAAUCUGCCGCAAUGGGCGAAAGCCUGACGGAGCAACGCCGCGUGAGAGAUGAAGGUCUUCGGAUCGUAAAACUCUGUUAUUAGGGAAGAACAUAUGUGUAAGUAAAUGUGCACAGAGUGACGGUACCUAAUCAGAAAGCAACGGCUAACUACGUG